UCUCCCCUGCAAGGUGGGUGAUGGAAAAGGAGGUCAAGAACCAACAGAAUAGAAGGUGCGGGUUUAAAAAUGUUUAUGGUGUGCAUGCCUUAGGAAUAAGGAAGCCUGAAGUAAACAAUAACCCACAUAAAUGGCAUGAAGCGGUUCUGCCGCUCCAUCCACACCGCCGAGCGGGGGAAAU
rnacentral:other from 1 species